ACUUGUUAAAAAAAAGCCCCAGUGCUCACCAGGUGCUGCUGGGGAGGGGGCAAUCCCUGCUGUCCCCCACUGCCCCACACAGUUGUCCCCCCACUACCCCCCCUAACCUCCCUCCUUGUGCCCCCAGCCCCCACGUGGGUGCCUCACCCAGGCUGGCUCCGGCCCUUUAAGAAAAAAAAAGAACGAAAAAACCCCAGGACUCACUGCUUCUGCCAGUGGGAGGCGAUUCCCACUGCCCCCGUUGCCCCACACCACGUGGGAGGUCUGCACGAGCCCCCAAAGCCCCAAGGCUGCUGCAGGAGUGGUGAGUCCCGGGGCUUUUCUCAGCUUUUUUUACAGCGUGAGCCACUGUGAGGCACCAGGGAUUGCCCCCUUUCCACCGCCCGGCAGCAUCUGGCAGCGAAGUCAUAAGUCCUCUGAAGCAACUCUCUGCAAAUUAUAAUGCUUCAUUGCAUAAGCAAGUAACAGGGGAUGAGUUAUGAAGAACAAAGUUCUUGUUGCACAAGCUUCAAUAAUCCUUAAUUCUGGGAAAGAAAAUGGCCAAUAACUUGUGAAAGGUCCAGCAGCUGCUCUCAGGGGAGAAACACCAGCCACCAGUGGGGAUCCAACUUUAAGAUGCCACCACUGUUGGCCAGCACCCUUCACAUGCACCACCUUCACCAGCAGGACACACAGGACCACACUCCCCUGCUGGACAGGCUGGUCACAGUGGCUGAGGAGAGGCUUGUGGACUCAUGGGCCUGGUGAGCCCAGAACCCAAAGUGGAUGCAGGAGCAGGACCAGGAGGACCGUGCCUUCCAGGACAGGCUCCUCACCCUCCAGGAGAGGCACAUCACCCUCCUCGAGAGGAUGCUUGAGGCCCAGGAGUAGCAGGCUGCCAUAGUGGCCUGAGUUGUAGAUGCAGUGGAGGAGGACCACUGGGUGCUGGACACCAUCCUUGCCUUGGUGGUCAGCUUCAUGCUGCACAGUGACCAACCCUCAGCCGUGAUCCCACCUAGCCCUUGGCAGCCCAGUCCCCAGCUCUGUCCUUGCCUGCCCCCUGGCAGCUGCUCAUGAUCCAGUGCCAAACCCUCAGUGGGCCUUGGACAAGGCACAGCACCACCUGCCCUGCUUCUGAGUUAGGUCCCCCAGUAGCCUAGUCCCCAACCUGGGUCACCUGGGCCACUUGCCCAGCCACCAUGAGCAGCAGCUGCCCAUGGUUGAGCCAACUACAAAACUGCUGGUCCUGGCCCUGUGGUGAAGUAAGGGAAGCAAGCCAAGCAUGCUGGACAGUGCCCAUCCUCACCCCAGUAUGAGCCUCUGGCCUGCCUGGCUUCCAAGGUAAUUCUCCUUGGGCUCCAUGCCAUAUUCACCUCCAUCCCCCUAUACUUCCCUUACAGUUCAGAAAGUGCAUUGUACAUAGUUGCAUGGGAAGCAGGACUUUUAUUGUUGGUGCACGUUGGAGUUAGGGAGGAGUGUGUUGCCAGGAGGGAGAGAGGGAAAGUGCUGUUGAGGAGGGAAGGAGGGAGUCUAUUGUUGAGGAGGGAAGGGAGUCUGUUAUUGUGUGGUGGAGGGAAAUAAAGUUUGAUAUUUGUUGCAAACUGUCCAUAGUGCGCAUGGUCUUGGGUUCCCCUGAGGGCCUGGGGUCCAAAGCCAGCCAACCAGGUGCAGGGGGGGUGGAGAAAGAGGUGGUCUACAAGUGCCUUAUGGACACAGUGCCCUGUCUGUCACUACCAGUGGGUAGGGCAGGGAGCGCCCAUGGUGUGCUGGCCACAGGCUCUCAGGACAGUAUCCCCUGCCAGGAUGAGCCUGCCCCCAGAUCCCUGUCCCAGGCUGAGCCUUCCCCUAGAGCCCCUGGCACUCGAGCAGGUGUAACUGGAGCCUGCAGCUGCCCCCUGGCUGCUGUAGUGGGGGCAGAACAGGGCAGGAGUAGGCUUGGAUCUGCCUAUUCUGAUUGAGAGACAAUCUGAGCCUGACAGUGUAGAAGCAUUCCCUGGCGCAUGUGUAAAUGCAUUCCCAGGGCAAGCAUACUAUGCCUUAUUUUACUGUUCAGUAAGCUUAAAGUACAUUAAUAGCACAUAGAGAUGUGCCCACUGUGAUCUUUUGCAUUCAUUUCUUCCUUUGGAUUUCAUUCCCAUAUAGCACAAGGUUAGUGACAUUCUGUACUAGUGUUUCUGUCUUUUCUGCACCAAUACUGAUUUUUCUGGCAGUGGCAUAUGAAGGAAAUCUUAGCACUGUAUCUUAGGUCAUAUUGUUGCUAGAACUGUGAGACAGGGAAGUGCCAUUUGGCAAAGGAUAUGAAGGUGUGCGACUAUGACCUUGAUAUAGGAAGGAAACCUGCAUAUUUUGUAAUUUUUUUGUGCUGGAACACACCCAAAAGAUAUAAAAGAUUUUGACAUAGAUAAUGUAUGUAAUACCUACUUCGAUUAAAUAAAAUUUAAAAUUAUAAUGCAAAAAUGAAUAUGCAAAUUCACUUUAA